rnacentral:lncRNA from 1 species
GGGGAUUCAGAACGUCAGGGAAUAGGACGCGGUUUGAAUAAAUUUUAAAAAUUUAAGGGAAUAGACCGCAGUUCGGCGCUGAACCGUGGCAUAUAGUUUGAACAAAAUUUCAGAAAUGCCAUUUUGAUUUAUUUUUUUAAUGAGUAUAGGUUGCGGUUAGGUGUGCAAUCGCGACAUAUACCCCUCAUAUACCGCGGUUAAGUUUCGAACCGCGGUAGAUUCCCCUAUCAGGUUUAAAAAACAAAACAAUUGAACAGUAUCGUCUUCUUCUUCGCGCAGACGCUGAGUUUCAGAGAGCUUCUUCCUCCCACCGACCACCCAUCUCAUUUUCCUCGUUUUUCGCCGUUUAAACUCAAAAUUGUUCGGUGCAUUUGCCAUUUUUGACGUUAAGGAACAGUUUUAGCCGAUCAAAAUCGUUUGAAAUGCCUUUGUCAUUCCUCUUUGCUGCCAUUCCUCUCUGUCGCACCAAGCUUUUUCGCUGUCCUAUUCCCGGUAUUUAUGCCCUUUUACAUUCUUAACAUGAUUUCUUAGUAGUUUUAUUAACAAUUGCUAUAAAUUUGAUAAUGU